GAGCGAACGGAUAAGGAGCUUGCUCCUUUGAAGUUAGCGGCGGACGGGUGAGUAACACGUGGGUAACCUACCUAUAAGACUGGAAUAACUUCGGGAAACCGGAGCUAAUGCCGGAUAACAUUUGGAACCGCAUGGUUCUAAAGUAAAAGAUGGUUUUGCUAUCACUUAUAGAUGGACCCGCGCCGUAUUAGCUAGUUGGUAAGGUAACGGCUUACCAAGGCAACGAUACGUAGCCGACCUGAGAGGGUGAUCGGCCACACUGGAACUGAGACACGGUCCAGACUCCUACGGGAGGCAGCAGUAGGGAAUCUUCCGCAAUGGACGAAAGUCUGACGGAGCAACGCCGCGUGAGUGAUGAAGGUUUUCGGAUCGUAAAACUCUGUUAUUAGGGAAGAACAAAUGUGUAAGUAACUGUGCACAUCUUGACGGUACCUAAUCAGAAAGCCACGGCUAACUACGUGCCAGCAGCCGCGGUAAUACGUAGGUGGCAAGCGUUAUCCGGAAUUAUUGGGCGUAAAGCGCGCGUAGGCGGUUUCUUAAGUCUGAUGUGAAAGCCCACGGCUCAACCGUGGAGGGUCAUUGGAAACUGGGAAACUUGAGUACAGAAGAGGAAAGUGGAAUUCCAUGUGUAGCGGUGAAAUGCGCAGAGAUAUGGAGGAACACCAGUGGCGAAGGCGACUUUCUGGUCUGUAACUGACGCUGAUGUGCGAAAGCGUGGGGAUCAAACAGGAUUAG
rnacentral:rRNA from 1 species